GACGAACGCUGGCGGCGUGCUUAACACAUGCAAGUCGAACGGAAAGGCCCUGCUUUUGUGGGGUGCUCGAGUGGCGAACGGGUGAGUAACACGUGAGUAACCUGCCCUUGACUUUGGGAUAACUUCAGGAAACUGGGGCUAAUACCGGAUAGGAGCUCCUGCUGCAUGGUGGGGGUUGGAAAGUUUCGGCGGUUGGGGAUGGACUCGCGGCUUAUCAGCUUGUUGGUGGGGUAGUGGCUUACCAAGGCUUUGACGGGUAGCCGGCCUGAGAGGGUGACCGGCCACAUUGGGCCUGAGAUACGGCCCAGACUCCUACGGGAGGCAGCAGUGGGGAAUAUUGCACAAUGGGCGGAAGCCUGAUGCAGCAACGCCGCGUGCGGGAUGACGGCCUUCGGGUUAUAAACCGCUUUCGCCUGUGACGAAGCGUGAGUGACGGUAAUGGGUAAAGAAGCACCGGCUAACUACGUG
rnacentral:rRNA from 1 species